rnacentral:rRNA from 1 species
UGGCGGCCGGCGCACGGGUGAGUAACGCGUAUCCAACCUGCCCUUUACUAUGGGACAGCCCGUCGAAAGGCGGAUUAAUACCGUAUGUUGUCAUGUUGAUGCAUAUAUUCAUGACCAAAGGCUUCGGCCGGUAAAGGAUGGGGAUGCGUCUGAUUAGCUUGCCGGCGGGGUAACGGCCCACCGGGGCGACGAUCAGUAGGGGUUCUGAGAGGAAGGUCCCCCACAUUGGAACUGAGACACGGUCCAAACUCCUACGGGAGGCAGCAG